AGCGAACCAGAGCAGCUCAUGGAAACUCCAUUUACCUUCCCGCUGGAGUGAUAGGAAGCGUUCGAGGCUUUGCAGAAAUGAAACCUCCUUUCAUUACGAGUCGGGUCUUUUUGUGCAAGGAUUGCUGAAGGUCUUUUGUUUGAAAGCUGGAUUGUCUCUGAAGAGGGUCUUCCUUGCCUAAUUCUUGUUGGUCCUCCACAG